rnacentral:rRNA from 1 species
AGCAGCCGCGGUAAUUCCAGCUCCAAUAGCGUAUAUUAAAGUUGUUGCAGUUAAAAAGCUCGUAGUUGAAUUUCGGGGUUAGUAGGUUGGUCAUGCCUCUAGUAUGUACUGGUCUCACUGAUUCCUCCUUCCUGAUGAGCCGUAAUGCCAUUAAUUUGGUGUUGCGGGGAAUUUGGACUGUUACUUUGAAAAAAUUAGAGUGUUUAAAGCAAGCUAACGCUUGAAUACAUUAGCAUGGAAUAAUGAAAUAGGACGUUCGAUCCUAUUUUGUUGGUUUCUAGGAUUGACGUAAUGAUUAAUAGGGAUAGUUGGGGGCAUUAGUAUUCAAUUGUCAGAGGUGAAAUUCUUGGAUUUAUUGAAGACUAACUACUGCGAAAGCAUUUGCCAAGGAUGUUUUCAUUAAUCAAGAACGAAAGUUAGGGGAUCGAAGACGAUCAGAUACCGUCGUAG